AUAACCCGACCCCAUAUCCCGACCCCAUAUCCUGACCCCAUAUCCCGACCCCAUAACCCGACCCCAUAACCGCCCCCCAGCUCCCCCGACCGCAGCCCCAAAUCCCCGGGCCGCCUGCGCCGCGCUCUCACCUUCGAGGAGGAUCCGGAGCCCCGCCCCUUAGCCCUGAUUGGCCAACGGGAUGGAAACGCCGCUUCCGAUUGGCCGACGGGACGGGACUGAGUUCCGAUUGGCCGACGGCCGGCGGUUGGAUCCGCCCACUACAGAGCAGUGCGAAUGGGGGGGGCGUGGCCAAACGCAGGCCCCGCCCACUCCCGCCGCCACGCCGCGAUCCUAUUGGCUGGCACCAAAGCGGCCGCACCAUAUAAGGGCACGGGGCUGCCAGCGGCCUAUUUUGCAUAUCCCCGCCCACCGCGAUUUGAAUAAAGCUUUCAUAUUCAUGAGCUUGGCCCCGCCUCCCGCCCCGCCCCCAUCGUGUGGGGGCGAAUCAAUGGGGCAGGGUGAGGGGGGGGGGUUCUAUAGGGCAGAUGUGGGGCAGAUGUGGGGUAUUUAUGGGGCAGAUAGGGGCAGUUAUGGGGCAGAUGGGGGCACUUAUGGGGCACUUAUGGGGCAGGCAGGGACGCUUAUGGGGCAGGCAGGGACACUUAUGGGGCACUUAUGGGGCAGAUGGGGGCACUUAUGGGGCAGGCAGGGUCACUUAUGGGGCACUUAUGGGGCAGAUAGGGGCACUUAUGGGGCAGAAGGGGGCACAUAUGNNNNNNNNNNNNNNNNNNNNNNNNNNNNUGGGGCAGGCAGGGACAUUUAUGGGGCACUUAUGGGGCAGGCAGGGACACUUAUGGGGCGCUUAUGGGGCAGAUAGGGGCACUUAUGGGGCACUUAUGGGGCAGAUGGGGGCACUUGUGGGGCAGCUGUGGGGCAGGGCGGGGCUCCGUACACGUUCUCGUAGUCGGGGCCGUCGGCGUCGCUGUCGCGGUCGCUGCCUGUGGGGACAUUUGGGGACAUUUGGGGACAUUUGGGGACAUUUGGGGACAUUUGGGGACACGUGGGGACUUAUAGGGUCAUAUAGGGACUUAUGGGGACAUAUAGGGACAUAUGGGGACACAUGGGGACAUUUGGGGACACAUGGGGACAUUUGGGGACAUUUGGGGACACAUGGGGACUUAUAGGGACAGUAUGGGGACAUAUAGGGACAGUAUGGGGACACAUGGG
rnacentral:lncRNA from 1 species